AUUGAACGCUGGCGGCAUGCCUUACACAUGCAAGUCGAACGGCAGCGCGGGGCAACCUGGCGGCGAGUGGCGAACGGGUGAGUAAUAUAUCGGAACAUACCCUAGAGUGGGGGAUAACGUAGCGAAAGUUACGCUAAUACCGCAUACGCACUAAGGUGGAAAGUGGGGGAUUCGCAAGAACCUCAUGCUCAUGGAGUGGCCGAUAUCUGAUUAGCUAGUUGGUGGGGUAAAGGCUCACCAAGGCGACGAUCAGUAGCUGGUUUGAGAGAACGACCAGCCACACUGGAACUGAGACACGGUCCAGACUCCUACGGAGGCAGCAGUGGGGAAUUUUGGGACAAUGGGGGCAACCCUGAUCCAGCAAUGCCGCGUGAGCGAAGAAGGCCUCGGUGUAAGCGUCUUUGUUCUAGGGAAGGAAACGGUAG
rnacentral:rRNA from 1 species